rnacentral:rRNA from 1 species
GGACCAAGGAGUCUAACAUAGGUGCGAGUACAAGGGUGGUUGAAACCCGUGUGCGGAAUGAAAGUGAGAGGGGUGGGAAGGCGCGAGCCUGCACCAUCCGCCGACCUUGAUCCUCCGGGAGACAGGUUUGAGUGGGAGCGUAUAUGUUGGGACCCGAAAGAUGGUGAACUAUGCUUGAGUAGGGCGAAGCCAGGGGAAACUCUGGUGGAGGCUCGUAGCGAUUCUGACGUGCAAAUCGAUCGUCGAACUUGGGUAUAGGGGCGAAAGACUAAUCGAACCAUCUAGUAGCUGGUUCCCUCCGAAAUUUCCCUCAGGAUAGCUGCAAUCUGCUGCCACACAGUUUUAUCAGGUAAAGCGAAUGAUUAGAGGCCUCGGGGGCGCAAUGCCCUCGACCUAUUCUCAAACUUUAAAUGGGUAAGAGACCGGGGUCGCUUGAUUGGACCCUGCGUUUGAAUGAAGGUUGCUAGUGGGCCAGCUGGGGUAAGCUCGGCUGGCGAUGCGGGAUGAACCGAACGUCGAGUUAAAGUGCCAAACUGCCCGCUCACCUAGAUCCCACAAAAGGUGUUGGUUCAUCUAG